CUCGGUGCGGCACCUGAGUAACUUGUCCACUGCCUGAAUCCCACACUUUCUUCUGUGGGAGGGAAGUGGCAAGUCCAGACCUCCUUGGUAGGUACAGGAGUGUGAGCUGCAGCCUGGCAGCUUCCCUGGCAUCAGAUCGGCUGAUUUCCAGGCUUGUGGCCCAGCCUCCUGCUGCCAGGUGUGACGAGCGCAUUGGCACGGUCAGGAAGCAGCAGAGCCUGCCUCUGCUCUGGGGCUCACGGACACCAGCUCGUGCCCCCUUCACACAUCUGCAGAUGGGGAGACCAAGGCCCAGAGUGGGCAGGGGUGCACCCUGAGCUAAUGCAGAACAAUGUCUUCUCAUUCCUAUGCCUGUGCUUCUCCCAGCCCGCCUCGCAGUGUUGGGGAAGACCACACUCGUACACACACACACACACCCCUACCACCCCACCCACCCUCCCAGACACACACACAUUACACACUCCCCCAUACACACACACCCACACUCCCCUCACAUCCACACUCCCCUCACACACACACAUUACACACUACAUACACUCCUACUCUCCCCUCACACACCCACACUCCCCUCACACACUCCCCCCACACACAGACCCACACACCACUACCCUCACAUACGUCCACACUCCACACACACACACACACACCCCUACCACCCCACCCACCCUCCCAGACACACACACAUUACACACUCCACCAUACACACAGACCCACACACCCACACUCCCCUCACAUACAUCCACACUUCCCUCACACACACAUUACAUACUACAUACACUCCUACACACACUCCCCUCACACACACUCCCCUCACACACACCCACACACACAGACCCACAUACCACACUACCCUCACAUACAUCCACACUCCCCUCACACACACACAUUACACACUCCCCCCACACACAGACCCACACAGCCACACUCUCCUUACAUACAUCCACACUCCCCUCACACAUACAUUACACACUCCCCUCACACACACAGACCCACACACCCACACUCCCCUCACAUACAUCCACACUCCCCUCACACACACGCAUUACACACUCCCUUCACGUACAUCCACACUCCCCUCACACACACCACACACACACAUUACAUACACUCCCCCCACACACACUCCCCUCACAUACAUCCACACUCCCCUCAAACACACCACACACAAUUACACACUCCCCUCACACACAUCCACACUCCCCUCACACACACACAUUACACACUCCCCCACACAGACCCACACACCCACACUCCCCUCACAUACAUCCACACUCCCCUCACACACACCACACACACAUUACAUACACUCCCCCCACACACAGACCCACACACCCACACUCCCCUCACAUACAUCCACACUCCCCUCACACACACAAUUACACACUCCCCCACACACACAGACCCACACACCCCUCACAUACAUCCACGCUCCCUUAACACACACACACUACAUACACUCCCCCUACAUACACUCCCCUCACACACCCACAGUCCCCUCACAUACAUCCACACUCCCCUCACACAUACACACAUUACACACACUGCGCUCACACAUAUCCACACUCCCCUCACACACACCACACACAUUACAUACACUCUCCCUACACACACUCCCCUCACACACACCACACACAUAUUACACACACUUUCCUCACAUACACACUCCCCUUACACACUACACACACACACUUCCCCUACACACACCCCCACACUACACACACUCCCCUCACAUAUACAUACACUACACACUCCCCUCAGGCACACACACUACACACCACCCACACUCCCACACACACUACACACCACCCACACUCCCACACACACACCUAUCACCCACACUCCCUCCCACACACACACCACACACUCCCUUCACACACUACACACUCCCCUCACACAUUCCACACACACACCCCACACAUUACACACACUCGCCUCAUGCACACACCCCACACACUACACAUAGUCCCCUCAUACACUACACACCACACUCCUUGACACACACACACUCUCCCUACACACACAUCCACACACCCAUACCCCUCAGCACACACACACGCCCCCAUACACCUACAUACACCACACACAUUCAUUCACCACACAUACACACUCACCCCACACCCCAUACAUACAUACACACACACACACACACAAGCUGUAAAGCAGUGGGACUUUCACAUGUGAGAUGCCCACAUAAGUGCCCCUGAGAGGCAGCUGCAUCUCAACACCGCGGACCCUAAUGACCUGGCUCCCUCCCCUGCGUGCCCCUCCAGAGGAAGCCUGGACCUUGUCACGCACACACUCCACCACCGCGUGAUUGUGGCUAAACUCCUUGGCUUGGCAUUCCAGGCCCUUCCUGGCACAGCCCAAGCCUCCCAUCCCGGCAGAGCCCAGGCCUCCCUUCCAUUCACCUGCUCAGCACUCCAUGGGCAUCUCUGUGCGCCGUGUAGUUACUGGGCACAGAGCGGGAGUCGCAUGCAAUCCCUCCCCACAAAGAGCCCACGAGCUAGUGAGGGAGGCAGACCCGUACGCAGGCACUCAUCGCACACCCGGCGGGCACCCGAUGGCAAGGGGGGCCCACCACCCAAGGGGAGUGCUGCCGCCGAGGGCUUCAGAUGGUGCCUGGCCUUGUUUCACUUAAUCCCCGUGGCCACCCUAUGGGGAGGGACCGGGAGCAGGCUUGUGAGAAUGCCUGAGCCCCCGCGUGGGGAAUGAGGUGGGGAGGGUGCGCCACACCGAGAGGUGACAGUGCUCGUAGCUGCCGUGCCCAUGACGGGGCUGGAGAAGGGCUCUGAGCAGAGGACAACCCAUGACUUCCAGCCUCCCCGGCCCCUCCUCUGCAACAGACCUGCCCCUCCUCAACAUGCCAGGCCUGGCCCAGCCCUUCUCUUCUGUGGGGCACCUAGGAAGGAGAGAGGUGCCACUUCUCUCUUCCCUCCACACCAGAGCAUAGUCCAGCCCACCCCAGCCCUUUCCAGCUCCUCCCCAAAGCACAUGCUUCAUCUUGUCUGUUCCAAUUUUUGCAGAUGCUGGUCCGCUCUGGAACACUUGCUGGGCCAGGACUUAUUUCUGGAUCAGGGCUGGAGGGGGCCGGAAGGGCGAGUGUACCAUGUGGCUGGCCUCCUCUCGACCCCCAUUCCUGGGUCCCAUCUGUCUUUGCCCUGUCUUUUGGUCCCUUGGUCCUCACAUUUGUCUUUCUUUCUCUACGUAUCUCUGUCUUCACUCUCUGGUUGACUUUGUGCAGCUGUGGAAGGUGAGGCUCUGCCUUUCACCAGCUUGAUGGUCUUGGAUGAGCCAUUUAGGCCCAGUUGCCGUUCUCCCACCUGGGAAAUGGGGCCGAUAGCACCUGCCUUGCAGGGUGCCCAGGAAGAUUAAGUUAUAAAUAAUACAUUGAGGCUCCUGGCCCACAAUAAAUGGUAGCUGUUGACGUGUUCUCUCUUUCUGUCCCUCUUCCCCCCGCCCACUUUCCUUCUCCCCUCUCUGUCUGCCCCCUUCUUCUGCUGAGGAGUUGAAAACACUCUGCCCAUUCCCCCCGCCCCGCCUUCAGUCCACCCCCAUUUUCUUUCUUCUCUCUGUCUCUCUGCUUAAGUGAAUCAGAACACAGAACUGGUUUGUUCUUUGUUAAAUCUAUCAAAUGCCUUUACGUUUCCCUGUUGUUAAUUUUCAAAGCCUGGGAGCGAAGUGUUUUCUGUCUUGCGUCUGCGGUGAAGUGUUCCUCGGGCAACCCGUCUUCCUCCUGGGACGGCCCUGGGUGGAGAGACCUCUGGUUCAGCCACAGCCUGUGAGGCCCUGCUCCUUGGCUGGCCCACUGUCCAGCAGGCAGAGGCCACCAGGGCAGAGAGGGGGUGUUCCAACUCAAUUCUUC
rnacentral:lncRNA from 1 species